rnacentral:rRNA from 1 species
AGAGUUUGAUCCUGGCUCAGAUUGAACGCUGGCGGAAUGCUUUACACAUGCAAGUCGAACGGCAGCACGGGAGCUUGCUCCUGGUGGCGAGUGGCGAACGGGUGAGUAACAUAUCGGAACAUAUCCUAUCGUGGGGGAUAACUAGUCGAAAGACUAGCUAAUACCGCAUACGUCCUGAGGGAGAAAGCGGGGGCUCGCAAGACCUCGCGCGAUUGGAGUGGCCGAUAUCUGAUUAGCUAGAUGGUGAGGUAAAAGCUCACCAUGGCGACGAUCAGUAGCUGGUCUGAGAGGAUGAUCAGCCACACUGGGACUGAGACACGGCCCAGACUCCUACGGGAGGCAGCAGUGGGGAAUUUUGGACAAUGGGCGAAAGCCUGAUCCAGCCAUUCCGCGUGAGUGAAGAAGGCCUUCGGGUUGUAAAGCUCUUUCGGCAGGAACGAAACGGUGGGUU